GUAGAGAAGCUGAAGAUCUGAGAACACUAAUAGAAAGUUCUGGCAAUGGGGAUAUCCAUAAACUACAUCUAAACUAAACAAUUAGUUUCAUAAGUGGUCAAAAAAGGAGUUCUUGGAAACAACUACAAAUACCCAACAUCUGCAACCGUAGAAGAACGAACAGAACUAUUUACAGAUAUUAAACAGACAAUAUUCAAAGUUGAAAUACACCGAAAGCUACAGCGAGAGGCUUACAACC